rnacentral:ncRNA from 1 species
AUGUUCUUCCCGAUAGGGGAAGCUAAGAGGGAAGCAGGUGAGAAUCCUGCACGGUCCCGCCACUGUAAAUGGAGAGUUCUGAUCAGGGCUUAUGCUAUCCACUGGGCAAAGAAACUAUUUGCUGCCUGGGAAGGAAGGUCAGAAUGAUGAUUCAUGAGUCAGGAGACCUGCAUAGAAU